rnacentral:rRNA from 1 species
AUUGAACGCUGGCGGCAUGCCUAACACAUGCAAGUCGAACGAGGUUGGCUUCGGCCAGCCUAGUGGCGGACGGGUGAGUAAUGCGUGGGAAUCUGCCUCGUAGUGGGGGAUAACGUAGGGAAACUUACGCUAAUACCGCAUACGCUCUACGGAGGAAAGGGGGGGAUCUUUGGACCUCUCGCUAUGAGAUGACCCCACGUCUGAUUAGCUAGUUGGUGGGGUAAAGGCCUACCAAGGCGACGAUCAGUAGCCGGCCUGAGAGGGUGUACGGCCACACUGGGACUGAGACACGGCCCACACUCCUACGGGAGGCAGCAGUGGGGAAUAUUGGACAAUGGGCGAAAGCCUGAUCCAGCAAUGCCGCGUGUGUGAAGAAGGCCUGCGGGUUGUAAAGCACUUUAAGUGGGGAAGAAUGGGAUUGCGCUAAUACCGUGAUCCUUUGACGUUACCCACAGAAUAAGCACCGGCUAACUCCGUGCCAGCAGCCGCGGUAAUACGGAGGGUGCGAGCGUUAAUCGGAAUUACUGGGCGUAAAGCGCAUGUA